rnacentral:lncRNA from 1 species
GUCCGACUCCCGUAGGAGUCCGGAUGAAGUCCACCUGCAACCAGAGUUCGGGGAUGAAGUCCGGCUCCCGUAGGAGUCCGGAUGAAGUCCACCUGCAGCCGGAGUUUGGAGAGAAAGUCCGACUCCCGUAGGGGUCCGGAUGAAGUCUACCUGCAGCCGGAGUUCGAAGAAGAAGUCUGGCUCCCGUAGGAGUCUGGAUGAAGUCUACCUGCAG